UACGGAGGGUGCGAGCGUUGUCCGGAAUCACUGGGCGUAAAGGGCGCGUAGGCGGCCCGGCAAGUCAACGGUGAAAGCUUGGGGCUCAACCCCGAGUCGGCCGUCGAUACUUCCGGGCUGGAGCACUGUAGAGGCAGGUGGAAUUCCGGGUGUAGCGGUGGAAUGCGUAGAGAUCCGGAAGAACACCAGUGGCGAAGGCGACACGCUGGGCCGUACCUGACACUGAUGCGCGACAGCAUGGGGAGCAAACAGG
rnacentral:rRNA from 1 species